rnacentral:rRNA from 1 species
UACGUAGGGCGCAAGCGUUGUCCGGAAUUAUUGGGCGUAAAGAGCUCGUAGGCGGUCUGUCGCGUCGGAUGUGAAAGCCCGGGGCUUAACCCCGGGUCUGCAUUCGAUACGGGCAGACUAGAGUGUGGUAGAGGAGAUCGGAAUUCCUGGUGUAGCGGUGAAAUGCGCAGAUAUCAGGAGGAACACCGGUGGCGAAGGCGGAUCUCUGGGCCAUUACUGACGCUGAGGAGCGAAAGCGUGGGGAGCGAACAGG